rnacentral:rRNA from 1 species
AACGAACGCUGGCGGCAUGCCUAACACAUGCAAGUCGAACGAGACCUUCGGGUCUAGUGGCGCACGGGUGCGUAACGCGUGGGAACCUGCCCUUAGGUUCGGAAUAACUCCCCGUAAGGGGUCCUAAUACCGGUUAAUCUAAUCGGACCUAAGAUUUAUCGCCUUUGGAUGGGCCCGCGUUGGAUUAGCGAGUUGGUAGGGUACAAGCCUACCAAGGCGACGAUCCAUAGCUGGUCUGAGAGGAUGAUCAGCCACACUGGGACUGAGACACGGCCCAGACUCCUACGGGAGGCAGCAGUGGGGAAUAUUGGACAAGGGGCGAAAGCCUGAUCCAGCAAUGCCGCGUGAGUGAUGAAGGCCUUAGGGUUGUAAAGCUCUUUUACCCGGGAUGAUAAUGACAGUACCGGGAGAAGAAGCUCCGGCUAACUCCGUG